AAGGAAGAAAGAAAGGAAAGGAAAAAGGAAAGGAGGGGGGAGGGGGAGGGAGAGGCAACGCCGACGAUCCCGAGAAUCUUGCACCAAACGCGCCCAACCUGGAGAGACGGGGAAAAAUCCUUCCAGAAGAAUUUGCAGGCGUGGAUUGGGAUUGCAGGCUGCGCCCUCCCUGCCCUGUCCAGGGAUGGGGCUCCCAGACUCUCUGCAAAGACGAACUGCCGACCCCUCCCCUUCCCCAGUGGCGGCAGCCUCCUGGCCUGGCUGCAAGGGAGGCAUCUGAACACACACAGGAUGCCAAGCCCUUCAGACGCAGAGCGGAUCCCAGUGCCAACCAUGUGGGUGUGCAUCCCCCCCAGAUCGGCCUUGGCACAUCUGGCCGGUCUGCAGUGUUUUCCCCAUCCAGGCACCCAGCUGUGUGGCGGAGCCAUAAAGGAAACAGAACAAGAAGUUGCCCCUUAUCUGUGUUCACAUGAUAGUCAGAGACCAUAGAGUAUAUGUAGAUUUUAUCUGCAAUUGUAGAUUCUGCUCUAUAACCAUUUGCCUUAUGCACCUCACUAAAACCCAAAUGUGGGAUCAAAAGUUUAAAGUUUAAUCAUGUGUAUUUUUUCAUGAUUUUAAUAGAAUUUUUAAUCCU